UACGGGGGGGGUAAGCGUUGUUCGGAAUUACUGGGCGUAAAGGGCUCGUAGGCGGCCAACUAAGUCGGACGUGAAAUCCCUCAGCUUAACUGGGGAACUGCGUCCGAUACUGGAUGGCUUGGAUUUGGGAGAGGGAUGCGGAAUUCCAGGUGUAGCGGUGAAAUGCGUAGAUAUCUGGAGGAACACCAGUGGCGAGGGCGGCGACCUGGGCCAAUACUGACGCUGAGGUGCGAAAGCGUGGGGAGCAAACAGG
rnacentral:rRNA from 1 species